CCUAGAGGCUCCCCUGUCUGUCUUCUUUUGGAGGUAUGAUUCAUCUGACUGCCUUACCAAGAAUGGAGUGUGGGUUGAAGGAAGUUUUCCUGGUUCAGCUGACCUGUGAUGAGCGAGACAAAAUGAGCAGGAUGGAGGGGCCAGAUCAACCCCAGGUCUAAGCUCUGAAGGAAGAGAGGAUUAAGCCUGACUUUGUCCAGUCGUUACCAGAAAUGAAGAAGAUUCUCCAUUUGCAAGCCUAAACAAGGUCUUCUCCUGGUCACAUGGGACUCUCACCUGGUGAUGUAAGCCAUCUGGCUUCACAAGGAACACAUUCAUCUCUGUUACCAUUACUUGGAUGUACUCACCAACACAAAAGCAAAUGACCCAUCAGAUUUGAGGUUAUGCACAUAUAUAUGAUGGAGCUGGAGUGGCAGCUGUUUCUUAUGGGUGAAAGUUAAAAAAGAUGCUGCCCCUGAGAAGGACUGCUAUAAAGACAGUGUUCCACAUAUGUUUAUCCUCCUGUCUCUGUCUCUCUGUCUCUGUCUCUGUCUCUCUGUCUCUGUCUCUGUCUCUCUCUCCUACCUCCCUUUCCCCCUCUUUUCUCUUCAGCACUUUGGAAGGCUGAAGCAGGGGGAUUACAAGUUCAAACCCAGCCCAGGCAAUUAAGGGAAAUUCUGUCUCACAAGGGCAGGAUGAGCUGGGGAUGCAACUCAUCUUGCCUUUUAACAGGAAGAAAACCUCCAUCCAGCUCUAUUUGCUAUCCUCAGACCCUCUUAAGAACAUGCAGACCUGUCGACCAUGGCAUCUUGACUCUAAAAAGAACUUGCAUGAGAUUUAACAUUUCUAAGUGUACCUAAGUAUACACAUCUCAGGACACUACAACACAAGAUUGGACAAUGCUGUGUUGCAUUUCCUUCAGGCAGGGAGGUCCCCUUUAAAACAAGCCUGAAAGGUGCCUUGUCUAGUGCCUGCCUGGCAAAGCCCUCCUGCCUUAUCCAUUUGCUGGCUGCUAUGUGAAGGGUGCCCUAAUCACCAAGCCAGGAAAAGAGACCCCCCCACCCCCACCUCUACCCAGGAGGGAGGAAAUAGAAAAGAAGUAUUCAGAAACAGUAUUGAUGCAAGGUUCUUUUCAUUGUAUAAUGUGGAUCAAUAAAAUCUGCAAAUAGCAUUUGUUCCUAUAAACCAGGUCUCUCGUUAUAAAAAGGCAACAGGAGAGCCGCAUUGCUGUACAGAGGAGUUAGGCACAGAAUUUCAUACAGAGAUUGUGGAAAAGAGGAUUGUUCUUUCAAGACAGACAAAUUCCAACAAGAAUAACUGUCAUGGGUUAGGCAACAGCGCUUUUACCUUAGAACAAUAUGUUUUUAUGAUUUAGUAAAAAAUAAUUCCACCCUAAUAAGAAUCUGCUCCUGCUUCAGGUCCCUCCAGAGGCUGCGCCACCACUCACAAUCAGCCCUGCCUCUCUGCUGGGUGGGGAGGAGCAGGGGGAACACACAUAUCUUAUUUUUCUCUCUCCUUUCCUCCUUAUUGUCUGGACUUUGAAGUCCGAUGUCAUGUAAACAUUAACUUGCUUCUUAAAUAAAGCCCCCGAGAGCAAACU